GUGAGGAAUAUUGGUCAAUGGGCGGGAGCCUGAACCAGCCAAGUCGCGUGAAGGAAGAAGGAUCUAUGGUUCGUAAACUUCUUUUGCAGGGGAAUAAAGUGCAGGACGUGUCCUGUUUUGUAUGUACCCUGAGAAUAAGGAUCGGCUAACUCCGUGCCAGCAGCCGCGGUAAUACGGAGGAUCCGAGCGUUAUCCGGAUUUAUUGGGUUUAAAGGGUGCGUAGGUGGUUUGAUAAGUCAGCGGUGAAAGUUUGCAGCUUAACUGUAAAAAUGCCGUUGAAACUGUCGGACUUGAGUGUAAAUGAGGUAGGCGGAAUGCGUGGUGUAGCGGUGAAAUGCAUAGAUAUCACGCAGAACUCCGAUUGCGAAGGCAGCUUACUAAGCUACAACUGACACUGAAGCACGAAAGCGUGGGGAUCAAACAGGAUUAGAUACCCUAGUGUCC
rnacentral:rRNA from 1 species